rnacentral:snoRNA from 1 species
UCCAGCAGUUGUCAGCUAUCCAGGCUGUGUGGUGCCCGAGAUCGUGUGUACACUGUUGGAAGAGUAAACACUGCCUUACUAAGGGUCGGCUCCCAGCACUGUUUUGGUGUCUGGUGCUGAGUACUUUCAGGCAGUAUUGCAUCCCUGAGAGUGGAAUGACUCCUUGUGGAGUUGGUCCUGGUCUGGGUGCAAACAAU